UUGAGGGCUGAGAUUCAGCAGCAGGAUCAUUCCGACGGCCACUUGCCUCUCACUUUGCUCUCACUGCUCACAAUAACCAGGACAUUAAGAUUAUCAGAAGACAAAGAGACAGCACACUCAGUGAUGAAAACCAGAUACACUUUCACAUAAUCUGUGUAUUCAAGCUUAUGUGAGGAUAAAUUCCACUCAAGCGAGAGAAGAACAACAAUGGAGACCAGUACUGCAAAAAAGAGGGAUAAGAGUUCAUGAUGAUGGCGAGCCGGGCAGCAAGCAGCAGCCAGGCAGCAGGAGUACCUAGAGCACAACGAGAAACAAGAUUUAUACAAAAACUACAAAUGACUAAGAAUACUGCUAUAAAAAGGAAAUGUUUUGAGUCACAGAAGAAAAGCAUUUUAGGUAGAAGAAUCGUCUCCAGAAAAGAAAGAAGAAAAACUGGAAAUGCAAGUGUGAAUUUCUGCUUUGCUGUGUUAUUUACCUCUUAUUCACUACAGACCAUUAAAGGCAAUUCUCAGGACACAUGAAAACUUGCUGAGUCAAGCCAGGUGCAGGCCUGUAAUCCCAGCCAUGCUGGAGGCUAAAGGAGGAGCAUCACAGAAUAAGGCAUGCUUGGGCUAUAGUGUGAGUCACAGUGCUGGACUGGGUAAAUCAGUAAGAAGUGCAAAGAGAGGAUGUAACUCAUGGGAUAGCUCUGCCUACCAUGUGCCUGGCCUGAAGAUCAAUCCCAGCACCACUAAACAACCUCUCCAUCAUUCCUGAGGAAACCAGUGCAUCUGGAUGGACCACUCCCAUUCUGACAGUCAGACUCAAGGUGGAAUCCAGCAUGCAACAAACAGCAUGGAAGCCCAAACUGUUUCAGGGUUCUGUUGAUUUCCUGGUGAUGGUGACUCUCUUUGGAAGCAGAUUGACAUAAAAGCAAUUAUCUCAAAAUUGCAAUUAUCUCCAUGCCAGAGUCCCUUACUUUUUCUCAGCAGCAGUUCAAAAUAAUGGGACUACGAUUAGAUUAAGAGUCAGGAAUACCUCAAGGGCAGGGGACUUGAAAUAUCAAAGUUGGGAUAAACUGGCUGACACAAGAAUACAUGUAACAUUUAGAUGAAAUAUGCCCUCUCCCAACAGAUGAUAAAUGUCGAAAUUACAUCUGAUCAU